ensembl:misc_RNA Metazoa_SRP Metazoan signal recognition particle RNA
GCCAGGUGUGGUGGUGAAUGCUUGUAAUCCCAGCUACUCAGGAGGCUGAGGCAGGAGGAUUGCUUGAGCCCAGGAGGUUGAGGCUGCAGUGAGCUGUGAUCGCACCACUGCACUCCAGCCUGGGUGACAGAGCAUGACCCUGUCUCUC